GGCCGACGCGAUCGACGGGCGGCCGACGAUCGAUCCUGCGACGAUCGACAGGCGGCCGUUCCGGGCGGCGCGGCGGUCG
rnacentral:tRNA from 1 species